UGGGCAUUUUGGCUGUUGGUGACGGUGAUCCGGCGUUGUGGUGUGCUGAUGCGAGUGCUGUCACAGCUGUUAUGGCCUGCAGCGCAACAGUUUAGCUGGUGGUUAAUACCCCUAAACCUGCAGCGUCGCCGGGCGCCGUCCUGUAUGCACGCGACCUUGCUCUCGGUCCGUGUGAGUGAAUGGUUUGCUGUGCGGGCUGUCUCGAUCUGGCCUGUGGCUGAUUAUGUGUGUGCGCUGUGGAACCGUGAGGUGAUCUGCUGCACUGCUGCCUCGGCGGGGGUUUGAACGGCGGCUUCGUCUGUCUUUCUCGUGCCUCGGCGGGGGCUUGAAUGGCUGCUCGGUCUGUCUUUCUCGUGCCUCGGCGGGGGUUUGAACGGCGGCUCGGUCUAAAUCGUGCCUUGGCUUUGGGUGUCGCUCUCUCUCCCCCUGUGGUAUUGCCCUCUGCCGGGUCAGCCUAGUUCCGGCUGUGCCUUCGCUCUAAGCAGGCUUGCCGGUUUUAGCAUCUCUUUGUUGGUUGGGUCUAGUUAUUAUAUAUUUAGUUUAUACAGUUGGCAUUUUGUGGUGUGUGUUUUUCAUUUUGGUCGGUUUGAAUUAAUUGAUUUGCACGUGUGCUUUACUUUAUCCUUUAAUCCAAUGUGUAUUUUAAAUAGUAUAUUAUUAUAUUAUUAGGCCCAUACUUUAAUUUUAUUCAGUAAUGGCAUGCCUUCUUAAUCGGUAUAUGUAGUUAGUAUGGUUUCUUUCUUUUUGUUAAGUUACUUUUGGUUUGGUUGUUGUUGUUCUAAUUAGUAUUUUGUUAAUAAAAUUAUUUGUUUAAAUGUGAAA